CCGCCCCCUCGGCCGCCCCCCGCACGCGCGCCGGCGGCCGCUCGCCCGUUGAUUGGCCGGCCCCUGGGCCUCACGCCAGCACCGCCCACGACCGUGGCUUCAAAACCUCUGAUUGGACAUCGAUGAUCCGCUCCUCUGAUUGAUAGCUGUCUGCCAGUCACUGUCUUCUUGGCUUCGAGCCCUCAAUUGGCCCUUGUUGAGGCUUCAGUAAUCUCCAAUUGGUGCAGCUCUGUGGCUCCGCACCCUGAUUGGCUGUCGUGACCAGUCCGAGGGCCCCUUGGCCUUGAAUCACCCAGUCACAAAGGGGCGGCUGCAGCUGCCUGCGUAAAGAUACCCGUGGAAGGUACCUAGAUGGGGAUGCUAAAAAGUGUGAUUUCCAGGGCAGGAUUUGUCAAAUAGGAAAUCAUGGAUGAGAAAACUACAGUGAGUGCUUAAGCAAUCUGCCAAAUGUCAAGUAAGUAGGAACCCCAAGCAAGGCCAUCUCAAGUUCAUCUCAAGGUCCUGCGAUCCAAACCUUGCCUGACAAGAAGCAGCAGCAGCCCUCUCCCAGCAGCCUCGGGCUGGCAUCCUGGUCCUAGUCUCCUGAAGGAAGAAAUCAUUAACCAAAUGGCUCCUCCCCUAGAUGCUAUUAUACCCAAGGCACAACAUUAUUCUGUGGCUUCUUGGAUGCUCCUUCCUUCUCUCUACACUCCUUGUCUAGAUGACCUCAGGAGUAUAAGUACUCUUUUAAUUAUUUAAUUUAGGUUUUGUAUCUCCAACCUCAACCUCUUCAUAAACAUACAGGCCCACAUAUCUUAUCAUGCACUUGACAUCUACACUCAGGUGCCUCACAGACAUCUUAAAGGGGGAAAGAGGACCUCUUGAGUUUUCUUCCCCAAUCUUUUCCUUCUUCCAGUCCUACUCUCCCCCCAGUUCUCAUCUUAGUAAACAGUAUCACUAUCUAUUCAGCUACUCAAACCAAUACCCACAAGGUCCUCCAUUACCCUCAACCCUGCAUCUAAUCCAGAAACAAACCCUACUGAUUCCCUCACUGAAGUAUAUCAGGAAUCCAUUCUCUAUCCAAAUCAGUCACAACUCCAGUCCAGACCACCACUGCCUCUCACCUGAAAGACUAUAAACCACCUACACACUGGUCUCCCAGUUCCACUCUCACCUCAUUCAAUUCAUUUUAUGUACAGCAGCAAAAGUGAGUUCAAAAAAAACUAUUAAUGGCUAUGUGCAGCUUAGACUCUUCAACGCCUUCCCAAGGCAUGAAGUUCAAAUGCCUUUACCACCUUGCUAUAGACUCUUUGUGUCCCCUCAAAAUUCAUAUGUUAAGUCCUAAUUGCCCAAUGGGAUGGUAUUUGGAAGUGGAGCCUGUGGGAUGUGAUUAGGUCCUGAGAGUGAAGUCCUCAUGAAUGGGAUUAGUCCUUCCCAAGGACUUAACACCACUACAUAGGGAACAGAGGAAAGAUGGCUUUCUAUGAACCAGGAAACAGGUUCUCACCAGACAGUGCAUCUGCUGGAGACUUGAUCUUGCACUUCUCCAUCUCCAGAACUGUGAGAAAUAAAUAUUUGUUUAUAUUUUAGUCAUAGUCAGCCACUCUGACUAUGGUACUUGUGUUACAGCAGCUUAAAUGGACUAAGGCACGUCUCUUUUAUCUACCAGUUUCCAUCUCUCCAAUUGAGUCUCUUGCUCCCCCUCUAAUGUACCCUCCCCACUCCCCACUUCUAGGCCGUGGAAUAUGUUGUUCCCUCUGUUUGAAAAGUUUUUUUUCCCUGUUUUUAAUAUAGCUGGUUCCUUCUCCUUACCUUUAGGGGUAGGCAGUAGAAGAGGAAAUUGUUUCAUUGUAUGACCGAGUGAAUUAUUAUGCUGUAUGUCCUGUAACAUACAGGAUACUAUAUACACAACUAAUAAGUGUUCAAAAAGAAGUUCGCUCAAUAAAACUGAAUUCCUAGUCUACUUUGUUCUUAUCCUAAAUUGGAGCAAAUGGGGAUCAUAUUCAAGGGCCAGAAUAUCAGCUUCAUGUCAAGGAUUCAGGUUUCUCCUAGGCUGCCAUUCCUCCAUUCCUAGGGUGGAACUUUCACCUCAUGCUCACAUCUUUGUCAUGGCUGCAGGCAUCAAGCUGUAUUCCAGGCAAAGAGAAGGAGGAAAGACAAAAAGCAAAUGAACUAACAGGAAGUCAGUGCCUUUAAUGAGCUUUUUCAUGAGGUCCCUCUUUGCUCUCUUGUUCAGUAUUGAGCUAAAAAGAGGUCCUGGGAAUACUUUUAACUGGGCACAUUUACUACUCCCCUUCCCAAAUGGGACUCUGUUAAUAGACAGGAGAAUGGAAAUUGGGUAGACAUCUAACAGGCUGUCUACAGUCAAUGGGAGUGACUAGAGCACCUA